rnacentral:pre_miRNA from 1 species
AAAAAGGGAAACCCUGGGUUUUCAUGUCUAACUUUAAUUGUCCGUCUUAUAUAAUAUAUUUUUAUAAUUCGUAUUUUCGUUGUUGCUAGAUGAUAAAACAUGAUUAAUAUUUUAUACGCGACUUGUCUUUUCAAUUUUUUUUAUAAUUUGUUUAAAUAAGAUAGACGGUCGGAAAUCAGGGUUUAUA